AAACCAACUGGGAUUACCUUAGUAACGGCGAGUGAAGCGGUAAAAGCUCAAAUUUGAAAUCUGGUACUUUCAGUGCCCGAGUUGUAAUUUGUAGAAUUUGUCUUUGAUUAGGUCCUUGUCUAUGUUCCUUGGAACAGGACGUCAUAGAGGGUGAGAAUCCCGUUUGGCGAGGAUACCUUUUCUCUGUAAGACUUUUUCGAAGAGUCGAGUUGUUUGGGAAUGCAGCUCAAAGUGGGUGGUAAAUUCCAUCUAAAGCUAAAUAUUGGCGAGAGACCGAUAGCGAACAAGUACAGUGAUGGAAAGAUGAAAAGAACUUUGAAAAGAGAGUGAAAAAGUACGUGAAAUUGUUGAAAGGGAAGGGCAUUUGAUCAGACAUGGUGUUUUUAGCAUGCACUCGCCUCUCGUGGGCUUGGGCCUCUCAAAAAUUUCACUGGGCCAACAUCAAUUCUGGCAGCAGGAUAAAUCAUUAAGAAUGUAGCUACUUCGGUAGUGUUAUAGCUUUUUGGAAUACUGUUAGCCGGGUA
rnacentral:rRNA from 1 species